GGGGUCUUGGCACAGUGGUAGCGCGCAUGCUUCGCAUUCGUGAAUUGCAUGAGGUCGUGAGUUCAAUCCUCACAGGCUCCA